UGCGCCGUUUAGGGCUUGCUAUGAGUACUAUUCAGUAGAGGAGGUAUGGCAUUCUGGAUCAGCACCGCAGUGAUUGACGGUACCUGCAGAAGAAGCACCGGCUAACUCCGUGCCAGCAGCCGCGGUAAUACGGAGGGUGCAAGCGUUAAUCGGGAUUACUGGGCGUAAAGCGCACGCAGGCGGUAUGUCAAGUCGGAUGUGAAAUCCCCGGGCUCAACCCGGGAACUGCAUUCGAAACUGGCAGGCUAGAGUGUCUGUAGAGGGUGGGUAGAAUUCCAUGGUGUAGCGGUGAAAUGCGUAGAGUAUCUGGAGGAAUCACCGGUGGCGAAGGCGGCCCACUGGACAUGAUGACUGACGCUCAGGUGUCGAAAGCGUGGGGAGCAAACAGGAUUAGAUACCCCAGUAGUCAAGGGCGAAUUCCACAUUGGG
rnacentral:rRNA from 1 species